GACGAACGCUGGCGGCGUGCUUAACACAUGCAAGUCGAACGCAGUGGCGAACGGGUGAGUAACGCGUAAUCAACCGGCCCUUCAGAGGGGGACAGCAGUUGGAAACGACUGCUAAUACCGCAUACUGAAGGAGGGGAUUGCGUCUGAUUAGCUAGUUGGAGGGGUAACGGCCAACCAAGGCGAUGAUCAGUAGCCGGUCUGAGAGGAUGAACGGCCAAAUUGGGACUGAUACACGGGCCAGAAUCCUACGGGAGGCAGCAGUGGGGAAUCUUCCGCAAUGGACGGAAGUCUGACGGAGCAACGCCGCGUGAGUGAUGACGGUCUUCGGGUUGUAAAGCUCUGUUGAUCAGGAAGCGGUACCUAAAUAGAAAGCCACGGCUAACUACGUGCCAGCAGCCGCGGUAAUUC
rnacentral:rRNA from 1 species